AUUGAACGCUGGCGGCAGGCCUAACACAUGCAAGUCGAGCGGAUGAAGGGAGCUUGCUCCUGGAUUCAGCGGCGGACGGGUGAGUAAUGCCUAGGAAUCUGCCUGGUAGUGGGGGAUAACGUCCGGAAACGGGCGCUAAUACCGCAUACGUCCUGAGGGAGAAAGUGGGGGAUCUUCGGACCUCACGCUAUCAGAUGAGCCUAUGUCGGAUUAGCGAGUUGGUGGGGUAAAGGCCUACCAAGGCGACGAUCCGUAACUGGUCUGAGAGGAUGAUCAGUCACACUGGAACUGAGACACGGUCCAGACUCCUACGGGAGGCAGCAGUGGGGAAUAUUGGACAAUGGGCGAAAGCCUGAUCCAGCCAUGCCGCGUGUGUGAAGAAGGUCUUCGGAUUGUAAAGCACUUUAAGUUGGGAGGAAGGGCAGUAAGUUAAUACCUUGCUGUUUUGACGUUACCAACAGAAUAAGCACCGGCUAACUUCGUG
rnacentral:rRNA from 1 species